CCUACGGGUGGCAGCAGUGGGGAAUAUUGCACAAUGGGGGAAACCCUGAUGCAGCGACGCCGCGUGAGUGAAGCAGUAUUUCGGUAUGUAACGCUCUAUCAGCAGGGUAGAAAAUGACGGUACCUGCUUAAGAAGCCCCGGCUGACUACGUGCCAGCAGCCGCGGUAAUACGUAUGGGGCAAGCGUUCUCCGGAUUUACUGGGUGUAAAGGGAGCGUAGACGGCAGCACAAGUCUGGAGUGAAAUGCCGGGGCUUAACCCCGGAACUGCGUUGGAAACUGUGCAGCUAGAGUGCAGGAGAGGUAGGUGGAAUUCCGAGUGUAGCGGUGAAAUGCGUAGAUAUUAGGAGGAACACCAGUGGCGAAGGCGGCUUACUGGACUGUAACUGACGUUGAGGCACGAAAGCGUGGGGAGCAAACAGGAUUAGAUACCCGGGUAGUC
rnacentral:rRNA from 1 species